CAAGUACUCCCUCCGUCUGGAAUUACUUGUCAUCAAAAUGGAUGUGUCUAGAACUAAAAUACAUCUAGAUACAUCCAUUUCAAUGACAAGUAUUUCCGGACGGAGGGAGUAUAAG
rnacentral:pre_miRNA from 1 species